rnacentral:rRNA from 1 species
GACGAACGCUGGCGGCGUGCUUAACACAUGCAAGUCGAACGGAAAGGCCCUGCUUUUGUGGGGUGCUCGAGUGGCGAACGGGUGAGUAACACGUGAGUAACCUGCCCUUGACUUUGGGAUAACUUCAGGAAACUGGGGCUAAUACCGGAUAGGAGCUCCUGCUGCAUGGUGGGGGUUGGAAGUUUCGGCGGUUGGGGAUGGACUCGCGGCUUAUCAGCUUGUUGGUGGGGUAGUGGCUUACCAAGGCUUUGACGGGUAGCCGGCCUGAGAGGGUGACCGGCCACAUUGGGACUGAGAUACGGCCCAGACUCCUACGGGAGGCAGCAGUGGGGAAUAUUGCACAAUGGGCGGAAGCCUGAUGCAGCAACGCCGCGUGCGGGAUGACGGCCUUCGGGUUGUAAACCGCCUUCGCCUGUGACGAAGCGUGAGUGACGGUAAUGGGUAAAGAAGCACCGGCUAACUACGUG